rnacentral:rRNA from 1 species
UACGGAGGGUGCGAGCGUUGUCCGGAAUCACUGGGCGUAAAGGGCGCGUAGGUGGCCUGUGGAAGUCUGCGGUGAAAGCCCGGCGCUCAACGCCGGGUCGGCCGUGGAUACUCUCGGGCUUGAGCUUACUAGAGGCAGAUGGAAUUCCGGGUGUAGCGGUGGAAUGCGUAGAUAUUGGGAGGAACACCAGUGGCGAAGGCGGCUCACUGGACCGGUACUGACGCUGAGGCGCGAAAGCGUGGGGAGCAAACAGG